CCUAGGUCCCUGCAUCUCCUGCAAUUCUUUUCUGGGAAGAGCUUGGACCGUUUUGAUUUGUGGGAAGACUCUCACAGGGAAUGGAGUGAGGAUGCUCCCAAGUACAGACUUGGAGGUAUUUCACGGCUUCCUCAAGGAUACAUAUGGGCUCCUAGCUGGACGCUCAUCACAGUUCUGCUUCCUCCAGGUGUUUAUGAGAGUCACAUCUGUCCACGUCCCCAGCCUACUUUUCCUCCUCCUCGCCCUUUCCUUUCUGUUUUGGACCAGACUAGUCCUCACUCUGAGUCUGUGAAUGGCCUGUGGGGGUCCUACAGAUGACGGGAGAAAGGGCACCUAGGAAAGCACAGUGACCGAGCCGUCGUCACACAGGUGAAGACUGGCAGAGCCAGAAUCAGAGCCAAGCUUUCUUUUCGGCUGUAAACGUCUGUGGAGCUCUGGAGGAGCAUGACGGCAAUGAAGCCUGGGCACACUCGUGAUUCCCCCUUCAUCCUCCAGUACACUCACCUGCCUCCCCGCUCCAGAUGGCAGCAAGAGUCUUGGAGGCCUGGCAUUGCACCCUGGGGACUACUCUGACUUUCUCCUGGGGCCCACGCAGCCAUUCCCCAUCUGGUGGUCUAGAAUUAAAGCCACGGACGAGAGAGGAGACCGGAGCAACUUUGACUUCGUGGUGACCUCCACAAACCUCCUGUUCACAUGUCUGCAGUGCCCCAGGUUUGCAACGACACGCUUCACUCCUCCAGAAGUUUCAUUCCUGUGGUGCCAAGGCUGGGAGACUUUAGCAAGCCAGGCUGUU